GUUCAAUACUUUGCAAAAAGUAUUUGACAGUUUCCUAAAAGUUAAACCAUAUACCUGCCAUAUGACCCAGCCACUUACUUCUGGAGAAAAGAAAGAACAUGUCCACAGAAUGAUUUGUACACAAAUGUUCAUAGCAGCUUUAUUUGUAAUAGCACAAAAUUGAAAACAGCCACAUGUCCAUCAACAAGCGAAUGAAAAAAAAAAUGGUGGUAUAUUCUUACAUAGUGUCACUUCUGCCAUGCUGUAAGCCUGCCCAGAUUCAAGGGAAGGGAACACAGACCACACCUCUCACUGCCAGGAGUGUCAGAGUCACAAUGUAAGAAGGACAUGUACAAUGAGAGAGAUUGUUGAACAUGCCACAGUGUCUGAUGUAUGUUCCCUCGGAAAUGCUAACUCUUUUUAAAGACCUAUGCCACAUGUCAAACUGCAAACACAAAGAAUCAUUGUCCCAUAGCUUGGUACAGUGCUCAUGUUUCUUGAAAGCCCACUAACUAGAACAAUUCUGCCUCUACUUAAUGAAAGCUCAUUUCUGAGAGGCAAUAGAAUGUGUUUUAUCAUAAACUAAGUGUUCUUUAAGAACUUCCUGAGCUCAAAGAAAUGCAGUACAAGAUUGUGGCUUGAGGGUCAGAUGUGAAAAUUGUAGUUAGCUUAGGUCAACACUUAUGGAUACUCUUUUUGAUAGAGUAUUUCUGGUUGCCAAUCAUGUCUGAGCACAGACACAGAUAUUGCACAACUGACUCCAGAAAUUGGGCUCAUGUGGCUGUGAAACUAGCUCCUCAAUUGGAAAAUGGUAGAGAAAAAGAAAUUUAACCUUCCUUUUCAAUAGGGACUGGUAACCAAGUGGCCUCAGAUGAUGCAUAAAAAUCUCGAUUUUACCAAACAAUACCUGCCAAUCAUGUAGUAGGAUUGAUAGGUUUAGCAAGUCAACAUUCUGCAACAUCCCUAACUCAGGCAAUAGUUAUCAAUGGUGCUAAAAGCAUUAGGUGUAUGGUUGAUGGGAGAUUGUAUGUUCAUAUAAAGCCAAAGUGAGGCUGUACAGAUUACUUCCUAGGUGCAAGGGAAACAAUGUAACUCUCCCAUCGUAGGAUCAGAAAGUUAUCACCUUCAUCCAGUGGUUGAUCUUAGCAUCAAUAAUGGUAGGUCGACCAGAUGGUACCUGUUUCCUGAUGGGAUACAGAGGUGAAGUAAACAUUACCUAUGAUGUAUAGCCAAACUUGACUCCAUGAAACUUUAAUUUUUAGUUGAUAAGCAAUAUGGAAAACAGGGGAGCAAACUAAUUAACAAGUAUCCAGAAAAAUCCAAAAAAUGCCAUGGCCCAUAGUGCAUCUAGCCUGGUCUAGUUGAUAGGACAGGUUGUAAAGAAAAAAGAAACUGUUUUCAGUUUGGAAGAGAAAACUGUUAUUAUAAAGCAAUUAUAAUAGUUAUAACCAUUAUAAAACGAUUACAUAUUGAUUAAACCAGAUUUCAGGGAUGACUGAAGAAAUCUGAAUAUGGAUUGGUAUUAGUCAAGAUAAAACUUCAUUUAUAUGGAAAAGUAGGAAUCGUCAAAUAAAAAAAAAGCCAGGUUAUAAAAUAGCAUGUACAAUAUGGUCUGAUUUUUGGUACGAAAAAUACAGAGAUAUACACAUGCGAAUGGAUUGUCUGCACUGGAACACUUAGGAGAAUAAAGGGGGUGCUCUUGCCACUUAUGCUCGGACAACUGGGUCUCCCAGGUGAGCCAGGAAGCAUGGCCUGUCGACAAGCAGCUGUUCUCAAACAUCGGGCAAGCAGCAGUGUGACAGAAUUGCCUGGGGGGUCGGGGUGGUAGUGGAGGGAGGCAUGUGUCAGGAGGACUCCUAGGCCCCAUCCCCGGAGAUUCUGACUCAGUAGGUCUGGAAUGGGCCCAACAACUGGCCUUUUUCCUAAGUGCCCAGGUUAUUCUGCUGCUGGAAAUGGUGAAGGAACGGAGCUUGCCCCACAGCAGUUUUGGUUGACAUCACCACCAGGCAGGGACUGGCUGAUCUUUGUGGAAAUGUUUAACUGAAUUUUUCUUUCUUUCCUUCUUCCCUUCCUUCCUCCCUUCCUCCUUUCUUCUCUCACUUCCUUUUUUCCUUUCUUUCUUAGUGAAUCACUGGGAUAUCUAUCAAAUGGCCAUUAAAGGAGACAGGAAAACACAUUGGUUAGAAAUGACGAUAGAACUAGUUUGAGUACCAGCUGUAGUACUUAUUAGCUGUAUGAUAUUAGGUAUGCUUCUUAACAUCUCUGUUUUCUCGUAGGUAAAACAGGAAUAGUGAUAGGGUUGUUAUGUGGGUUAAACAAGAUAAUACAUUUAUAGCACAUAGUAAGUCUCAGUAAACAGUAGCGAUGCACGUCAUCACUAUUACCGUUAUGAACAAGCCGCAAAUGCACUGUGCUAACCUUGGAAGUGCUGCCCAUGCUAUCUUCUGCCUUUCAGAUAGUGUUUCCUGGAAAGCAAAACGAACACCUCUUCCCAUUCUUGCUUGAUGAAUAGCUUAUUGCCGCACAUCUGUUCCCUGGCAGCCCCUGAGAAGUCUGUGGGACAGUUGAGCCUGAGUCUUUGGGGGAUGGGAGACCUACACGGCACAUCUGCUUCAAUGUUUUGCUCUGAAGUCUCGGGCGUGGUUACCAUGGAAUGGAAAACUGACGACAGGGACUAGAAGAAGGUUCUCCAGUCUUUGGAACUCAACUUGUCCUUUCUGACUACAUUUUGUUUCUUACCCAAGAAAAGAAAGGAAAUGAAAAAGAAAAAGAGAAAAAGAAAGAAAAAAAGGAAAUUGUUUAAAAAUUUGAAAAGGUGAGUACACUGAAGUAGACUAAAAUAAAAUGAUGCAAGUAAAGUAGAAUUUGAAAAAAUUUACACAAAAGUAAAAAAUAUAGUAAUAAAAAUUAAAGACAGAUAUUUUUAAUAAAAAUUGAAAAUAAAAAUGAGUUUUUUCUCUUUCUGUAUUCAAGAAAAAGAAAAGAAUUGUAAAAGAGAAAAAGGAGAAAGAGAAAAAAAAGAAAAAAAAUUGAAUAGAUGAACCUGCUAACAGAUUGAAGUAGGACUGAAAUUGUUUCAUUUUCCCCUAGAGGUCAGUCCAUGUAGCUGUUUAUAGUCCAUAAAUUAGCCGGCAGUGAGGCUUGUGUUCUUGAAGAACAAAGUUGGCCCAAGUGGGAGGGGCUCGGUGUAACAGCUCCACUCUCCACUAGAUGGCGCUGCUAGCCUACUGGGGUGGAUUGUUGCUGUGCUCGUAGGUGCGCAUGCGCGUGCGCAUGCGCAUGCGCAGGAGCCGUGAAAAAUGGCGCCACCCAGCCAGCCAGUCUGUUCUCCCGGAUCAGCAAUUGUGCACCGGUUCUCUGUCUUCAGCUCUUGUCCACUCCCCGCUUUUUCACUCUCCAUGAUUCAGGCCCCAGGCAGUACCUCUCUCCCAAGUUUUGUCUCAGAUGUGGCUGUUUUCCCUGGCCCCUUACUUCUGAAGGACUGCGGCUUUGACCCGGUCCGCCCUUCUGCGGGAGGGUCUCACCGAACAAUGGCUGAAUGAGCAAUGGCCAAAUGUCGGCUGCACCCAGGAACGCUUGCCGGACCCUGCGGUUGCCGGUGCCCCGAGACUGCGGCCCCGUGCCAGCCCGCCCCCAAAAAAGAUCGCGAGACAGUGUAGCAUCAGUGUUUCAGGGAUUAUGGAAAAUUGCAACACACAUCUGGCACCAGGCUUUACCCUCAAUGACCUUGCCGCAGCACCAGCGAAUGUGGCUGCCUUCCGGGGUCUGCUGGGACCAGGUGGCUUCAACAGUCUCUACCAAAUGUCCUUCCAGCGGUGGAACCGCUUUUCCCGUGUGGCCCGAGAACCUCCCGGACCCCACUCCGUUCCUGGGGAUUCACCUUUCCCACCAGAGCACCGCCAGGUUUGUGAAGAACAAAAUGCUGGCCCCGGGGAGCCAACGCAGAGUAAACAGUCCUGUCCAGAAGGCAUGGAAGGGCAUCUGGCCACGGCCUUGAGGACCCCGGGCACAAGUUCUGAGACACCCUGAGGCCUGCAGACAAGCCCUUCCUCCUGGAGCUGGAGGAAGAUGGCUCAGCUCUAGAGCCAGAAGAGUACUUGAGGGCCUGGCAGAGGACACAGUGCUCGGCGAUGAAGUAAACACUUUAGAUCACCUGGGGACAUCGUGGCAGAAUGGGAGCCAGAACCAAGGAUCUGACUCCUCUUUGGACGUGAGUUGAGACUCUUACAAGUUCUGCCUCGAAGGGGGCUGGCUUCCCAUGGUAAGAUAAAAGAAUCCUCUCUUGGUUUGGAAUCAGCUUUCCCAGUUUUGCUCCACCCACUCCAUUCCGCAGGUCUCCCCUCCCACCCCCUCCUCCCUUUCACACAUCUCCAUAGUGACGGUUUUCAUCUCUCAUUCGGGAUGCCCCUGGUACAGUGUGAGAUGAGGCACAGCUCGCUUCAGGGUUGAGCUGGUGUUUUUCCGGAGACGAACUGUCAUCUGUGUGUGUAUCCACCUCUGGCAGGGACACACCCUGGUGUAAUCUAACGUCCCUGCUCUGGUUGUAUAUCUGGAGAGUCUGCUAUUGCCUUAGAGUCUGUGAGUCCUUGAGGGCAAGGGACAAGGACUCAUUACUCUAAAUCUCCAGGCAGCUAAUAAGGUGUUACCCGCUGUGGACAUUUGAUAGAUGGUUGGCAUUUACUUCUCUUCUUCUGAAGAUUCCAUCAUCCAGGGAGAUAGUUUCACCUGUCGCUUCCCUUCUAAGCUCAGCUUUGGGAGAUAAGGCUUCAGAAGGGAAGUGUGUCUUCCCACAUAUGGCUCUGUUUUAAACUUAAUGUAUUUAUUUGAGUACCUAGAUACCAUGGUGAUCGGUGCUGUAGGAAGAGAGAGAAAGAGCAGGGAGGCGGAACAGAGAGAGGGAGCAGCCCAAACACCAGGGGGCUGGAAGCAAUGUUUUGUGACACCGCUGUUUAUCUUGAGCCGGCAGUAUUAUUUAUCACGUCCUCCGUGCACACAUCUCUCCCCUGGGAGCGUACACGCUGCUUGUUUCUUAGGCACUUAUGUUCUCUGGGCCUCGAGAGGAGGAGACAUGUUGCCUUUGGCAUGUAAAGGUACACAUCACUGUCACCGCUUCUGACGUUUGUAUGUCAUUGGACCCUGUUCGGUGCACGUUCAUGCACCCUACUUCCCUCCUGUAAGCCUGUGUCAGGCCAGAUUGGAUUCACCCUAUUUUUUGAUGAAUUUGAGAUUCAGAGACUAACUUGUCCAAAGGCACUCGACAAGUGAGUGCUCAGAGCUAAAAGCCACCUGUUUCCUAGAGCAAAGCCCCUUAUGCUACGAUCGGGCUGUGCAGCGGUGGGAAUUCAUGGCAGGCGGGACAGACCUGGUGCAUUUGGGGCAGGGUCCAGGCUGGAGUGAGCUGCGUGGAGUGUGGUCCAAGUCACAGAGAAACAGCUAGAGCUUCUGCAUGGAGCCCACAAAAAAAAUGGGGCAUUGGCUGCAGAAGGAAUUUUGCUGAUUUUAUGUCUUGAGACAAAAGAAAGUGUAAAGUGUAAAUGCACCCUGUGUCCAGACUGACAGCCAUUGCAAAGAGCUCCCUGCAGCACAAGUGAACUUUGGUGUUUCUGCUUAUCUGCCUGGACUAACCCAAACCUGGUCCCGAGACUGGUGCAUGGCUGCUGGCAUCCUUCCUCAAGGCAGACUAAGAUGAAUGAGACCCAAGAUAGAA